rnacentral:lncRNA from 1 species
UAUUUAAAUUAACGUUGUUAGUGAAAUCAUUUACCUUAUAUAUAAAAUUGAGAUUUCUUUUGAAUGGAGAGAAGAACGUACAUAUUUUGUAAUUUUUAUUUAAAAUUAAUAAUUUGACUAACAUCUUGGGGGAGAGAGAUGCUUGUCGCUUGCAAAAUUUUUUGUUAACAUGAUCUUUAAAUUCUAUUUAAGGUUAACAAUAUGAUUAGGAUUCUAUUUAAAGUGUUGCCAAGGUGAGGAUGCAGGU